rnacentral:rRNA from 1 species
CCUACGGGUGGCAGCAGUGAGGAAUAUUGGUCAAUGGGCGCGAGCCUGAACCAGCCAAGUAGCGUGAAGGAUGACUGCACUACGGGUUGUAAACCUCUUUUGUCGGGGAGCAAAGAGAGUCACGUGUGACUCAUUGAGAGUACCCGAAGAAAAAGCAUCGGCUAACUCCGUGCCAGCAGCCGCGGUAAUACGGAGGAUGCGAGCGUUAUCCGGAUUUAUUGGGUUUAAAGGGUGCGCAGGCGGAGUGGCAAGUCAGCGGUCAAAUUGAGGGGCUCAUCCCCGUACUGCCGUUGAAACUGCAUCCCUUGAGUUCGCUAGAAGUAUGCGGAAUGCGUGGUGUAGCGGUGAAAUGCAUAGAUAUCGCGCAGAACUCCGAUUGCGAAGGCAGCAUACCGGCUCGCAACUGACGCUCAUGCACGAAAGCGUGGGUAUCGAACAGGAUUAGAUACCCCUGUAGUC